rnacentral:rRNA from 1 species
AGUGAACGCUGGCGGUAGGCCUAACACAUGCAAGUCGAACGGCAGCACAGUAAGAGCUUGCUCUUACGGGUGGCGAGUGGCGGACGGGUGAGGAAUACAUCGGAAUCUACUUUUUCGUGGGGGAUAACGUAGGGAAACUUACGCUAAUACCGCAUACGACCUACGGGUGAAAGCAGGGGAUCUUCGGACCUUGCGCGAUUGAAUGAGCCGAUGUCGGAUUAGCUAGUUGGCGGGGUAAAGGCCCACCAAGGCGACGAUCCGUAGCUGGUCUGAGAGGAUGAUCAGCCACACUGGAACCGAGACACGGUCCAGACUCCUACGGGAGGCAGCAGUGGGGAAUAUUGGACAAUGGGCGCAAGCCUGAUCCAGCCAUACCGCGUGGGUGAAGAAGGCCUUCGGGUUGUAAAGCCCUUUUGUUGGGAAAGAAAAGCAGCAGGUUAAUACCCCGCUGUCCUGACGGUACCCAAAGAAUAAGCACCGGCUAACUUCGUG